UCUUGAUUACUGUUGCAUGUUUACAAACCCAGCCUGGAAACAGUAGUUGUGGUCCUCCUCACCACACAUCCAUUCCAGGCAGCAGGGUGUCCUCUCCCUCACUGGGUGGGAACAGCCUUGCUCAUUCCUGCCAGUGCCCGCCACUGAGCAUGCUCCCUGACUGUUGAGUGUGGAGCGCUGCUGGGCAGGCGCACAAAGACACUGUCCUCGGCCCAGGCAGAGAUGCUUCUCCUCCACCAGCUGCUCUUAAUCACUGUUUUACUCGCAAGCUUCUUGAAAUUGCCUUAAGCCCCCCUCCCCUCUUAGAAAGGCUUUCUUUCUGCCUUCCUGCCUGGCAUGCAUCUCCCCGCUGGCUAGGCACCCCUUCUCCUCUGCAGUGUUGGGGGAGCCCCCAUCAAGGCUUGCACCCUCUCUACAAGCAGGGGGAACCAAUUGCACUCAAAGCACCCAGUGUUCGCUUAGGCAAGAAGCUGAACAUGGUGCAGUUUGCAACAAUUCUCUAGGCAUUUGGUUCUCCUGGCCCUAGAGUCCUUUGUGGCUCUCCCUGCAAAGAAGCACUUGUUCACCAGUUGGUUCUCUAGAAAGCCUGUUCACAGUUCUUCUAAGAGUAUAGCUCUUAAAUCAGCUGAAUCAGCAUAAAUCAGCAACCUCUUACUGUUAAUAAUAAUUCAUAAACUCUACUGAGCUCUCAGCUUUAACUGUUUAAGAAGCAACAAACAUAAAACACACAGGAACACCUUACACUUACAAUGGUCAUGAUUUUCCCCUCACCACUUCCCACCCAUGCCCCUUUGCUGGGUCUUUAGAACAGAGACUCAGUUGGGCUUUUUCAAGUGCUUCCACCCUCACCUAACCCAUGCCUUACUUUUCCUUCCAAGGCCUCAAGUCUGACCUCUAUAGCCAUGGAAUUGUAGAUACAAAAUGAACCUUGGAGACAAUCUCAUCACUCCCAUUUUUUAUCUAUAGCAGGUACAAAUUUUCACAGGCUCAGAGGUGAAAAAUGUAACUUUAUUAUAAUUGAACUUAGUUUUGUUUUUUGAGAUGGAGUCUCGCUCUGUCGCCCAGGUUGGAGUGCAGUGGCGUGAUGUUGGCUCACUGCAACUUCCACCUCUCCG
rnacentral:lncRNA from 1 species